GACAGAGGGUGCAAACGUUGCUCGGAAUCACUGGGCGUAAAGGGCGUGUAGGCGGGAAGUAAAGUCAGAUGUGAAAUCCCUGGGCUCAACCCAGGAACUGCAUUUGAAACUCACUUUCUUGAGUACCGGAGAGGAAGGUGGAAUACCUGGUGUAGAGGUGAAAUUCGUAGAUAUCAGGAGGAAUACCGAUGGCGAAGGCAGGUCUCUGGGCUGAUACUGACGCUCAUGCACGAAAGCGUGGGGAGCAAACAGG
rnacentral:rRNA from 1 species